AGCCCAUGGCUCCCCUGGUUGCAAGCCUCGUGGGUUUUAGGGUUUAGGAGAUGUACGCCUUUGGGGGAAAUAGGGGAAUG
rnacentral:pre_miRNA from 1 species